CUUCGGCAGUCUCUGGACCUCCGGUCCUCAGCCCUGGCGGCUCCACCACCAGUGGGAAGCUAUUGGAGCAUCUACUGUACGAAGGAAUGCGCUUCACAGAUGCACAGGACAUGGGCUCAGUCAGCCUGACAGGACGUCAACCAGAAUCCAUCUGAUGCUUCUCGCUACAGACACAUUUAAAUGUGUUAACUUGUUCAAAAGUCCCACAACCAGGGUGAACUAUAAAAUUGUCCCAGUGGCCCCUCCGAGGUGCUAAGUGCAGCUGCAGAUGCUUCCAGAUCAUUGUCCACCGGAUCCCACCCUGAGAUGCACUAUUCCACUGGGGACACCGACAAGGACAUCGUGCAGGAGGUGGCAUCAGACCAGACCUUUUAUAGACUGAUUUUAUAUUUUAAAACGAUAGGCGCACCUUGUUUAAUCAUGCUUCACAGACACUGUGUUUUACAAACUGAAGGUUUGGGACAACACUGUGUUACCAGGUGACGGUUAGCAUCUUUUAGCAACAAAGUACUUCUUAAUUCAGGUGUGUGGGUUUUUUUUAAGACAAUGCUACGGCUACAUACAUAACAUACAUAACAUACAUAACAGACUACAGUGCAGUAUAAACAUAACUUUUAUAUGCACUGGAAAACCAAAAACUUCAUGCAAUGGCCUUCACUGAGAUAUUAGCUUUACUGCAGUAGUCUGGAACCAGAUCCACAAUCUCUUUGAGGUCUGCCUACAGUCAGACUUCUCCCAGAUGCCUAGUAUUUUAUAGAUUGUUUUGAAGGGGGCAGAAAGCAACUUUUGUGUUUUUCUUAAAGUAACCUUGAAAGCUGAAUUAUUCUAAGUUUAGAAGCCUCCAGAUAAGGCUGCCAAUCUUGCUCACACCACACAUCCCAACAUUUAAACCCUCAGUGUUGGGAUUGCCCUCCUAUUGGCUCUGAGCUCCUCCCAAUAUUGUUUGUUUUCUUCCAGUCCUUCUGAGAAAGAGAGAAGAGCAAGUCCUCUCCAUAUCUUGGGCAUGCCUACUGUUAGGGACUGAACUGUUUCUCCCCAAAUCCAUAUGCUGAAGCCAUAACCCCCCGUACCUCAGAAUGGGACUGUAUUUAGAGACAGGGUCUUUUAAAAGGAGACAAAGGUAAAAGGAGGCCAUUAGGGCGGGCCCUAAUCCAAUGUGACUAGUAUCAUUGUAAGAGGAAAUUUGGACAUACAUGGAAGAGAGACCGUGUGAGGACACCCUGGGAAGGCAGCCAUCUGCAUGUUAAGGAGAGAGGACUCAC